AUCUGCUGCUCGUCCACUGCGGUUCCUGUGCGCCGUCCGCAUCUGCCUGACGCGCGUUCGCUGCGUUUCGUUAGCC
rfam:Xanthomonas oryzae pv. oryzae KACC10331, complete genome.